GGAUUGUGGCUUAGUGGUUGAGCACUCGCCUAGCAUGUGUGAGGCACUGGGUUCGAUUCUCAGCACCA
rnacentral:tRNA from 1 species